rnacentral:misc_RNA from 1 species
CAGAGAGUUGAAAGACUCCAAAACCCGUGUAAUCCUACCUCUUGUUGCCUCGGCAGGCAGCCCCAGGGCGGGGCCGUGGCCUUCUUGGAAGGCGCCUGCCGGAGGACCAACGAAGCUCUAUUAUGUCUGCUGUCCGAGUCCACUGCGAAAUAAGUCA